rnacentral:miRNA from 1 species
UUGGGUUGGCCAAAAAGUUUGUUUGGGUUUUCCAUAACAUCUUAUUGAAAAACCUGAACAAAUGUUUUGGCCAAUCCAGU